rnacentral:lncRNA from 1 species
AGAAAAAGGAAUUCAACUACUUUCUAUUGAGAAUAACCCACAUAAUUCCAUUGAUGAGAAUUGCAUGAAGUUCUACAAUGAAAAGAAUAAAACAAAGGGAAAGAAAAACGAAAGGAAGCCAAGCGGCCCUCGGUUGUAACUACUCACAAUCCCAUGUCUAUUCUAAUCCUUAUUCUGUUUCCUAUCAAGUCCUAAUAUUUCGGCCGUCCAUUGGCCAAUCAAAAAUAGAAUUAUAAUUACAAAAGGAAAUUUCUCCAACUAAUGCUGAUUGUUCCCUAAUAAAAUAUCCAAAAAAAUGGUAAUUUCCUAGUCUUCCGCCAAUAAUCGAUGUAGACUGCAUCUUGAAUUUGGAAACUCUUGAAAAAUCACCUCUUUUAUCACUUUUUGCUCCACCUUCCUACAAUUAGCACCAAAUACCAAAUAUAAGUAGAAUCUAUCAAUUAAUACAAUAUUGGCUAAAAUAAAAGAAAAAAUAACCAUAAAUUGAAUGACAAUUUCACACCUUAUCAAUUUUUCCCACACCUAAACCAUGUUUUCCUCAAGUAUAAGAACAACAAAUCAUGCAAUCAAAUUCAAACAAUGGCUAUUGUUCGAAUAUUCUAUUGCCAAGAUACAAUUAAAACACAUGUCAAACAUUAGUAGCAAGUUUCAAGAAAUAUCUCUCCAAUUAGCUUUCAAGAUCAAAAACUCUUCCAAUUUAUGAGUAACUAAUAUAAGAAUAUAAAAUAUUCAACUAACAUCCGUCAUCAAAAUGGUUAAACUAUUAAGCAAAAUCUCAACAUUAAAACUCAUAGAUCAGCAGGCUAAUGUAAACCAUCUACAAUCUCGUACAUUUUUUUUGUUUUUUUUUUUCAUGCUUAGCACAACCCUCCUUUUUUUUUCUCAAUUUGUUUUUCAAGGAAAAUGCUUAGUUCUUAGCCAUUCAAACCUUUUGACGUGAACUCCGACAUCUAUCAAAUGAAGGAGCUCGGUUACUCAACCCUCAUCGCUUAAAAUCAUAUACUCAUAGCUAUCGUCGCUUUUGGACGAGAAAGUCGACACUUGUGAUGAAAACCUCUAGUUACUAGGUAACGAUAAGUAGCGGAGUAUAGCCAAAUACUAUUCAUAAAUAAGCACCAAAUUAAAAUUAAAAACCACACAAAUCCACUUCAUUUCUUAAACAUAAAGAACUAAAAUUAAUAGCUGACCAAUUUGCACAAAAAAAAACUAGAAAAAUAUUUACAAUACUUAGAGAAGUUAACCAAAAAACACAAAAGUCAAAAAAAUCUCAAAUAUUCAUCAAAGAGACAUCCUUAGAUUUAACUAUGUCAUACUUAACACCUUAGAGUAUAAAAAGCUUAGCAAUAGAAAAUUUGAGACAUCUAACCAUUGUUUAUCAGGAACAACCACAAAUAUGCACAAAGAUAGGUAAAAUUGGAUAAAAUUCGACAAAGUAAAAUAAAAAAUUUCAAUAAAAUUGCCUACACUUGAAUUUUUUCAAUAUACUACUCUCCCCCCACACCUAAAUAUUACAUUAUCCCCAAUAUAAGAAAUAAAGAAUCAAAAGAUGAAGUAAAAGAGAUAACAAAACUUCCCUGAAAACUGAGGAGGCCAGCAGACAGCUACAGGUGACGAGCAAAAGAUAUGUAGAGUUUGAUGGUGGCCAACCAAUCAUCCAGUUGAUGAACUUAUUCAUGCAAGUGCAGCAACUUGGCAUCGAGAGAUGAUGGUGGUGGAGGUGCGGAUGUAGACAAAAAUUGACAGAUCAGGAUCACUAUCAACUUAAAAAUUUCUCCUUUAAUGGCUUGAUGGCAAAGCUGAUGAAAAUAAAGGCUAUGAUCGGCAGUCGAGAACAUCGGGUGGCUCACGAUGGAUGGGGAAGAAUCGCGUGUGAUGAGUAGCGACAACAACAAUCGAUGGGCAGCAGUGGAAUUUGAUGUCCUAAGGUUGCGGUCUUGUGGCUGGAAAAAGAAAGAAAGGAAGAAAAAGGAAAGAAAGAGAAGAAGAAAAGAGAAAGAAAGAGAAAGAAAGAAAGAGAGAGAAAAAGAAAAGGGAAAAAGGAGAGGAAAAGGAAGAGAAAAGAAAGGAAAAAAAUUUUUUGAUUUUUUUUAACACUUCUCUAGGACAAGACGUGGGCACGUCCUGUUAGUAGAAACCCUUCUGAUGAUGAAAUUGUUGAAUUAAAAGUUACCACGUGCCCUUUUGACAUAGGAACAUCAUGAUAGUCUAGACACUUCUGAUGAUGAAUUGGAAAAUUAGCGUAUUACCACGUGCCCUUCUGACACGGGCACGUCAUGUUGGUGUAAAUGCUUCUAAUGGUGGAGUGUAUUUAUGCAUUACCACGUGCCUUCAAGACGCGGGCAUGUGAGAACCUGAAAUUUUCUUUAUUUUCUAGUCAUUAUUUUAUUUUCUUGCAUACCAUUUCUAUACCUUUCUUUAUUAUAUUAAUUUUUGAGAUAUUUUUAUAAGGGAAUUAAGUUGUUAAGACAUUUUUCCGUUAUAAGUUAGUCUAUGUGACGUUAAUAGUAUAUAUUGGACGUAGGACCCGCUAGUGUGAUUAAUUGUGGAGGUGUGUGUACUAACUUUGGUGGUUAAGAGUGAGUUUUAGAUAAGAAAAAGUGUGUGAUUAGAAGUAAUAAUAAUAAGUUAGUGAAUUGUAAGUGAAAAUCCUAGUACACGCGAUUUAAGGAAAAUCGGUUCGAACCGACGUGUACCGUUCGCUAUCGAUUGAAUACACCACUUAACCACCACUUUAUUACCUUAAUCCUUGUCUUAUUAUUUCAUAAAUAUCAUCCCUUAAUUAUCCUAGAGAGAGUCGAAAUUAUUGACCAAAAAGAAAGGAAAAAGAAGAAAAAAUUUGACUUCCAAUCAAAGUGUGACACUUGUUAAAUUUUGACCCAAAUCAAUUCCUACCUUCUUAUCUUUCUUGGAGCUUCAUUUCAGCCUUCAUUUCUGCACAUUUGGCCAUGAGUUGAAGAAAGAAAAGAGAGGAAGGAAAGUUAGGAAUUUCAUCUUGAAUCCAUCUUAUUUGAGUUGGAAUCCAAAAUCCAAACCGAUUAAACUUUCAUUUUAUUACUUAGGAAGCUUUGUGUGGUAAAAGUUGUGGAAGAAAGUGGUGUGGUUCUCACCUACAAGCACUCUUUGGAAGGUAUCUUGGCUGUCUUCCCUUUUUCUCUUCUUAAUCUUGCUAAAGUUUGGAUAGAAACUCUUAAUCUUGGGUUAUGACGGUUAAUUAGUGAGUUGUGCAUGAUAUGGUGGAAUGUUUAGCUAGGGUUUACAUUUUCAGCCUUGAUUAAUGUUAUUUACCUAUAAAUUGAUGUCAUUGAGCUAGUAAUUGAUGAUUUUAAUGAUAGGGUACUUGUUAGAUAUGAAUUUCUAGAGUAAAAGUUCAAAUUUCCAACUUUAAGGUUGAAACUGCCCUGUUAUUGAUCUGUCUAUACGUCUAUGUUAGAGGCUGAAUCAACCUUAGGUCUAAACAUGAAAGUUGUAGAAAAUGGUGUUAACUAGCCGCCUGCAAAAUUUCAACUCAAUUUGAGCACUGUAUCAUGUAAAAUGAUAAAAAUACCCUUGACUGCCAAAUGUACUGUUUUGUGGACAGUUUUUUGUUUUUCUCUGAGAUGUCACAUUUUGAUAUUGAAAAUGCAUGAAUUGGAUGUUGACAUCUGCAUAAGAAAUGUAGUUCUCUGUCUUAGCUUCGAAACAGUAUAAAGUGUAUCCCAAUCCGAUAAGCAUAGCUUCAGUUGUGACCGAAACGCCAAGAGAUGUCAAACCUGUUAUUUUGUUAUUUGUCUUGAACAUUAGUUCCGGUCGCAUUGCUAGCAUUGUUUUGUAAUUGAAUGACAUGGAGUCUAGUGAAAGGCUAUUGUGGCAAGAUUAUUUGUGUGUGAUUUUAGGGUUGAAUUGAGGAAAAUAAUGAAGCAAUAAAUGGCUGAAAAAUAGGUAAAUACAAAGGGCGUGCUACCCAAAUUUUCACUCAAGGGCUAGUUGGAUGUACUCGCGACUUGAACGAAUGUUUUAGGAUUGUUCAUGUUUUUAAGACCAACUACUACCUUUUUAAUCCAACGCCACAUUGUUAUUUCUUUGCCCUAGUAGUUAACUUGACUAGGCACACGACUUGUAGUCGAAACUCAUUUGUGCAUUCCGUUCCUAGGUUUGUGGAUAGGGGAACCAUAUUUGUUUGACCUUUGUUGUUAUUAGGAUGUGACGGUGAUCAAAGCCAUCCUUUGGGAGAAAACUUUUGAAGUUAUCUUUGAUUGAACUGGUGAGUGUACCACUCUACUGAUUUGUCGCUUAACUGGUUGCUUUGUACUUGAAAUUUGUGACUUGAAUGACUAUGAACUCUGUUGAUUCUGAAUGAGACGAGGGUGUACUUUAUUACACUCGUUCUCUUGCCUGUGUGAUCGUUUACUGUGUGAAUUUGAAUCUGUUAUCUGUGUCUGUUCUUAACGUCGUUUGGAGGCUUGUAUCCAACAACCCUUCUAUGAUCUCUGAUCUCAAAUCCUUGGCUAGUUACUCGAGUCGAGUCGGCAAGGGUUUGGUCCAUUAGAUAACGAGCCACGGUAGUCUGUUUCUGAAAAAUCUUUGGGUAUUAGAGACUCUGAAUUUUCGAUAUAUUCGAGUAUUACCACCUCUGUUCUGUAUGUAGUGUUCGGGCCCGGCAAGGGGUAUGUUCGGUGGACGGAAUUUGAUGUAAAGUGGGGUCUACGGUCAUGUUUGUGUCUUCGAACGUUGACGGAGCGUCAACGAGUUGGGAUCAAAUACUGCAAUAGGAAUUUUGGCUCCUGAGAGCCACCUGUAUCCUUUCUAUUGAGGUGUUUGUUCAUUUCCUUAUAUGUUGUGUAUAUGUGCCUUGAGAGUGAAAUGCCAUGAUUCUUGACUGCUUGUACUUGUGGUAACUCAUUGAGCGUAAGCUUACCCCGUUCCCGUUAUCUUUGUUUUCCCUACAUGGUUCAAUAUUUUGGGAGCUAUGAUUUUAAAGAAAGAGUCGAGUUAGUGUAGACAUUUUUUUGAUCAUGCUCAUCUGUAAUCGAAACCUUAAUUGUAAUUUUGUAUACGUAUGGUUACUAUGGCUUGUAUUUCAAGUUAACUUAUUGAAGACUCUGAUGUAUAUAUGUAUAUAAGUGUUUAAUCAAGGGUUUCAAGCGUAUUUGUAUGAGAUUGUAUGUUUCUAUGGUUAUGUGAACUUUCUUGUAUCCAUUGGAGAAAUCGAGCGAGUGCGAACCUUGAACGAGGAAGAAAAAAAUUUGGUCGGAUUUUGACGUGGCCGCGGUCCUUUGCGCUUUCUGAUGAUUCGUUUUCCCGAAAUUCCUUGGACCGUUUGGUAAGGUUUAUGAAUGAUUUGAUCCGUAGUCCUGGCGAGAGUUGAGCAGGCGGUCCGCCGACCUUUUGGUUCGCCUUAAGAGGAGGUGGGGCCUUCAUAGGGCACGUCUUGUCAGGAAAAAGUCUUCUAACAAAAAAAAUUAAAAGUGAAAAUCAAACACACCAAAUUCAAAAAUCUAAGAUAAAUAAAAUCAAACCAAUAAUAAAAUCAAACUAAAAACUUAAUUGGGUUGCCUCCCAAUAAGUACCUUUCUUUAAUAUCGUUGACUAGACAUUGUCAUGUUUGUUCAAGGAGGAUAAAAUCUUGUGACUUGUUUCACUGUUUCAUCCUCUAUAUAAUCCUGAUAAUUCUCGUAAAUAGAGUAAUUCUUGAGCACAUGAGUUACAGUUUUCCAUGGACUAGUAGAUGUCGCCAAACAUGUCAACAAUAAUCUUAAUGCUUUACUCAGUCCUUCAUCACGCACACUUACUAGUUCAAGAUAUUUUGUCAUCACCACUCUUAAUUUAUUCCUGACAUGAAACUCAAAAUCUUCUGGUAUAAUAAAAUCAAUUUCAUUAACGGGAAUUAAAGAAUAAAAGUCAGGAGAAUGUUGAUUGAAAAAUAGAGAAGAUGUCACCGCAUUUGGAGAUUAUUUACUGGAUUCAUUCAUUUGAACGAUUUGAUAUUAGGGUCUCAUUUCUUGCACUUCAAUUCCCUUUUCAACUACAUCUUUAGAUCCUUCUUCUUGAGACUCUUGCAACUCCAUAUCACUUGUCAGGAUAAUUACAUUCUCAUCUUCCUUAAGGUCGAUAAUGGCCUAUGAGGGCAAUUCUUCAUAAAUUGGAGAAAUCAAUUUACUCAUUAUAGAUGCCAAUUCACGCCUUCCAUCUUCCAUCCUUUUAAUUAUCUUUUGUGUAUUCUGUUGAAAAUAAUAUAUCAUUUCUUUAAGAGACAUAUCUGAUGUAAAUGAUGGUUCUUGACGCAUUCCAUCCUCCGUCUCUUCACUCCUUAUUUUUGCCUCCUAUUCAAAUCGAUAUGUACUAGCAGUUAGUAUUUCAUCAUUUCUUCAAAAGACGUACCAGACAUGGAUGAUGAAUCUUGAAACUCUUGUUGUUGAAAAUCCAUUGUCUCCUGCUGAAGUGGAUGUAGCAGUUACUAAUUCCAUUAUUUUCUUCAAGGGACAUACCAGAUAUGGAUGAUAGUUGUUGCUAUUGAUAUUGAUGUUGAAGACCUAUUGGCACUUUUGCAUAAUUCAAGUUGAAAUUAUUCCACCAUCCUUGAUCAUACCCGUUUGAAUAAGGGUCAUACUGCAUUUGAGAUUGGGGUGAAAAAUCUCCAAAUUUAUUGAUUGAAACAUUCAGGUAAUUUUGAAAUUCAGGACACAUAUCGGUUGAAUGAUUCGUGACAUAACAAAUUUCACAAGUUGCAACAGCCAUUUUUUCUAUAAGAAAACUUAGUGAAUUUGAAUGUUAAUCAUUAGAAAAAGCACAAGUCUCAUCACCUUUCGUAGAAAUAAAAUCCAUUCUAUCACCAAAAUAUUGAAUGUUAGCAGCCAUAAACUAGAGAAUAAAUGAUAAUAAGAGGAAAAUAAAAAUAAAAUGAACUUAAAAAGAAAAAAAUUAAUCAAGCACCAACCCUUAACAACGACGCCAAAAAUUAACAAGUGCCGAGCCUGUGCAAUAAUAAAUACCUGCUCAAAUAAAGUAUGAAUUUUAUAUAUAGUGGUAAGCAGUGUCGAAUCCACAGGGAUUGAAAAAAUUUGUUUCUUCUAGAAUUCAGAAUAUGGGGGAUUUUUAUAAAAAUAUCAAAUUAACUAAUCAACUAAAUAAAAGCAACUCACGAAAAUAAACAGGAAUUAAUCAACAAUAGAUACGACUCUAGUCAAAGGUGUAACUUUUCAGACACGGUCCAUUCAACUGAUCAUAGAUGCAAAGAUAAUUCAAUUACUCAUUAAUAAACUGGUUAUAGUUGCUAUACACGUGAUAAAACAACUAACUUUUCCUUACUUUUUCGAUAACCAAGGUACGACCGUUGACUAUUUCCCUAAUCAAGAAACAACCCUAGGUACGACUGUAGGAUUUAAUUCCUCAAUCGCAUUCAGAAUUAGAAAAUCUCAGCCCUAACUAACAAAUAUGCUACGAGGGUUUGUUUAAGUUAGAUCAUAUGUUUUCCUACAUGGGACCAAUCACGCUAGUCACCACUGGUAUUAAUCAAUUAAACAAUUACGGAUUCAAUCAAUUAAUCUAACAGUAGAUUAUUAGGUUAAUUCGAAUAUCGGGCCCUUGACAUUCAAAUAACAAAACAAUCAUAAGAAAUUAAACUAGAAAACGUACAAAUACCAAUAAAUAAAAUAAAUCAAUAAAAUUAAUUCAAUCUUACAGAUGUUUGGAACCAUGACUUCAAGUCAACCCUUGACUAGAAAAAGAAAUUCAGCUACUUUCUAUUGAGAAUAACCCAUGCAAUUCCAUUGGUGAGAAUUGCAUGAAAUUUCACGAUGAAAAGAAUAAAGCAAAGGGAAAGAAAAAUGAAAAGGAAGCCAAACGGCCCUCAGUUGUGACUACUCACAAUUCCCAUGUCUAUUCUAUUCCUAAUUCGGUUUCCUAUCAAGUCCUAAUAUUUUGGCCAUCUAUUGGCCAAUCAAAAAAAGAAUUCUAAUUGCAAAAGGAAACUUCUCCAACUAAUGCUAAUUGUUCCCUAAUAAAAUAUCUAAGAAAAAUGGUAAUUUCUUAAUCUUCUGCCAAUAAUCGACGUAGACUCCAUUUUGAAUUGAGAAACUCUUGAAAAAUCUCUUCUUUUAUCACUUUUUGCUUCACCUUCCUACAAUUAGCACCAAAUACCAAAUAUAAGUAGAAUCUAUCAAUUAAUACAAUAUUGGCUA